AGUGAACGCUGGCGGUAGGCCUAACACAUGCAAGUCGAACGGCAGCACAGAAGAGCUUGCUCUCUGGGUGGCGAGUGGCGGACGGGUGAGGAAUACAUCGGAAUCUACUCUGUCGUGGGGGAUAACGUAGGGAAACUUACGCUAAUACCGCAUACGACCUACGGGUGAAAGCAGGGGAUCUUCGGACCUUGCGCGAUUGAAUGAGCCGAUGUCGGAUUAGCUAGUUGGCGGGGUAAAGGCCCACCAAGGCGACGAUCCGUAGCUGGUCCGAGAGGAUGAUCAGCCACACUGGAACUGAGACACGGUCCAGACUCCUACGGGAGGCAGCAGUGGGGAAUAUUGGACAAUGGGCGCAAGCCUGAUCCAGCCAUACCGCGUGGGUGAAGAAGGCCUUCGGGUUGUAAAGCCCUUUUGUUGGGAAAGAAAUCCAGCUGGCUAAUACCCGGUUGGGAUGACGGUACCCAAAGAAUAAGCACCGGCUAACUUCGUGCCAGCCGCCGCGGUAA
rnacentral:rRNA from 1 species